GCCCCUCCCCCUGCAGACCUCCUCCCCGCGGGGCGGACCCCUCCUCCUUCAGACCCCCUGCCCCGGGGGAGCCCCUCCCCUGCAGACCUCCUCCCCGCGGGGCGGACCCCCUCCCCCUGCAGACCCCCUCCCCGCGGGGCGGACCCCCUCCCCCUGCAGACCUCCUCCCCGCGGGGCGGACCCCCUCCCCCUGCAGACCUCCUCCCCGCGGGGCGGACCCCCUCCCCCUGCAGACCUCCUCCCCGCGGGGCGGACCCCCUCCCACUGCAGACCUCCUCCCCGCGGGGCGGACCCCCUCCCCCUGCAGACCCCUCCCGGCGGGGCAGACCCCCUCCACCCUCAUUGUGGGGCAGACGAGCUGGGAAGACUGCGGGGCGGAGGCGCAGCUCUCACCUCCCGCAGGCGCACCAGCGCGCAGGAAGCCUCGAAGAAGCCUCGGGACCUGGGAUUGCAUUCUCAGACCAGUGGCUGGGGAGCUGAUUUUGAUUCCAAUUUCUGGACCCUGAUUUCUGCUCGGGAAGACCUUCCGAUAUUGAGUUCCCCAGUGUAAAGAGAUUUGUACCUGAUUUACACUGGCGAGUCCUGCCCAUGCUGCUGCAGGAAUAGGAGCCCUUCUUUAUAAACCCACGUGGUCCCAAAGCACCUGCCAGGACAGAACUUGGAAAUGUUGGCAUGCCUCCAGAGCAGGAAGCUUUGUUCCUGAUCAGCUCCUCCAGGAUCCAGAGGCUGACCUCAGAAGGGAGUCAGCAGUGUCCUGGAUACCUGGUCAGGGUGCAGCCCUGGAAUCUCACUCUCAUUGGAGACUUUGGAGCCUGCAGGUGUGCCACACCUCUUGUACCUGCACAGGAACAGCCAGUUUUUAAGAAUCUGGGUCCUUCUUUGUUGUGUAUCCAUAGAGUCAAAUGUGUUUUCUAAGUUUUCCCCAAAAUUUGGACUAUUGAGAUGGCUUGAUUUAUUCCAAAAGUACUCAUGAAUCACUGACUUUUGGCCUGUCACUGCAUGGCCCAGUCAGGCCCCUGGGGGGCUGACAUUCCAAUGGAGGGAGCCAAACAAUAAACCAAUGAACAGAGAAUAGAACUCA
rnacentral:lncRNA from 12 species